rnacentral:lncRNA from 1 species
AGUUCUAAAAGACGUCUCAAUCCAGAGGUUUGGAAAUUGAGCCUUUCAAGAAUCACAGCAUGUAGGUCUUGGGAAGGACCUAGAGAUGAUGCUGGUCUAGAUUUCCCCAGCCUUCUCUUUGAACUUGACCUUCAACCGCUGGAUCUUGAACCAGAAAACAGUUGAAAGGACAUAGUGGAGACAGCGUGGGAUCAAGCAUGAAGAGUGCUGACGAGGACUUUCACCUGGGAGAAGAGCUCAUUCUUCCUAUCGUUUCCCUGGGAAGAACAUGGCUGAAACAACUUACUGUACAGACCACAGAAGUGAGACCAAAAACACUGAGAUGAGGAAGUGAGCAGGGUGCCAUUUCUUCAGAAGAAAAAUAAAUGACAACAUUCUGUUUUGGGGCUUGAAACUGCAUGACUGAAAACAUAAAGGUGACAACUGUGAUAUGCUUUUUUAAUGAGGGCAAAGAUGUCAAGAGAAACCAGCCUUCUAGGAACAAAAGAAUACUCCGUCAGGUGCAGUGGACUUAAGACCUUUUUCUCUCUUGGAAUAAUGUCCUUAAAAAUAA